UACAUAGGUCCCAAGCGUUGUUCGGAUUCAUUGGGCGUAAAGGGCUCGUAGGCGGCGCGUUAAGUCGGGUGUGAAAUCUCGGAGCUUAACUCCGAAACUGCAUUCGAUACUGCCGUGCUUGAGGACUGGAGAGGAGACUGGAAUUUACGGUGUAGCGGUGAAAUGCGUAGAUAUCGUAAGGAAGACCAGUGGCGAAGGCGGGUCUCUGGACAGUUCCUGACGCUGAGGCACGAAGGCCAGGGGAGCAAACGGG
rnacentral:rRNA from 1 species